UGUCUCAAAGGGAUUCACAGAGAAAGUGUCUAGUUCAGACAGACACUUCUUCAAUAAAAAAAUCCUGAAUCUAUAAAUAUGCAAAUACAUUUAUUUUUCAGAAUUGUGACAAAAUGUCUCCUCCUUCAUUAAGUCUUUUUUUAGUGGAGGGGGAUUUGGACAUAAUGAUACAUGCAGGUCUGACAUACAAGCUCCUAGAUAAUAGGGCCUAGGACCAUCAAACCACUUCUAAAUUGUUGACAAACAAUGGCCACAAGAUGCAGAGCCUAUGCUUUGAGCAUUAUUACCUAGUGCAAUUUUACACAAAUAUUUCCAAUUAGGUAUUUCAAUUGAUUAUUGAAAAAAAUACAGAUGACAAAUGCUUUCAAGUUCAAUAGCUCCUAGAUAAUAGGGCCUAGGACCAUCAAACCACUUCUAAAUUGUUGACAAACAAUGGCCACAAGAUGCAGAGCCUAUGCUUUGAGCAUUAUUACCUAGUGCAAUGUAUAUCUUUAUGCAGGGGGGGGGAGGAUCAGUACAGUUAAACCAGCAACAUUAAUUCUGAGGCACUUGUGGUUUUAAGCGAUAAGGAUAGUAGGGAAACACCCAGGUGGGUAUGACGGUGUGGCAUGCCUGCAACAAUUGAACAUGUUAUUAUAAUGUAAAAUACAGGAAAGUAAGAUGGUAUUCAAUGUUAUUUUAGAAUUAGGACUUUCCUUUUUCUUUUUUCAGACAAGAAGAAGCAGUAACUAUUUGAAAGGAAAGUUGGAUUUGUUUGUAUGCAACUGGACUAUAUGCACGGAUGCAUCUGAGGAUCAGGAGCUGAGGGGAGUGCUUCGGAGGCAUCGGUGCUGGGCUUCACAUGUCCCGAUUCAGAAUGCUGCUCCCCGACUCGCCUUCAACCUUCCCAAGUUAUCCCAAGUCACUCACUCCACUGGCUACCGGUCGCUGCCAGGACCAGGUUCAAAGUCCAGAUCCUCGCCUACCCUGCAGCCAACAGGACGGCCCCCGGCUACUUACAGGACAUGAUUCAAUCCUACACGCCAGCUCGACCACUCCGCUCUGUGGAAACAGCGCCACUUGCACCCCUGCCAUUCGGAUGAAUCUGGGAUAAUUUUUUCACUUAAAUUCCCCUCUUUUAUGCUACACAUGUACCUCCUGUGCCAAUUUCAUGUUACCUGUACCGCCAUCCAGCACUUAUACUGUACUUUGUAUCAUUAUCUUGAUGUUGUAGCUUGUCAUGCCUCCUAGUUUUACUUAGCAGAGGUUAGGUCAGAGUAAUGUUUAAUGUGUGAACUGGACUUAAUGUGUUCAUGGCUAUGAAUAACUGUUACAAAAUGAGUAUUGUGCCUUAUUGGAUCUGUGUUUUGUAGUUGUUCCAAUGACCUUCUUUAUGCACUUAUUGUACGUCACUUUGGAUAAAAACGUCUGCCGAAUAAUGCAAUGUAAUGUCAGGAGUUUGCCUCCCUCUGCUGGACAGAAAAUGGUAUUACAGCAGAGGAAAUCCGAUUUAAAAAAUGUUGCAAUGUACAAGUCGAUUUUUUGUAUGGUUAUUAAAUGUAUGUGGAUUUUAAUGCUGCACACAAGUUGCCCUCUGGGGAUAAUAAAGAUCUACUGAAACCAAAA